rnacentral:rRNA from 1 species
AGCGAACGCUGGCGGCAGGCUUAACACAUGCAAGUCGAGCGGGCACUUUCGGGUGUCCGCGGCGGACGGGUGAGUAACGCGUGGGAACGUGCCCUCUGGUUCGGAAUAACUCAGGGAAACUUGAGCUAAUACCGGAUACGCCCUUUUGGGGAAAGGCUUGCUGCCGGAGGAUCGGCCCGCGUCUGAUUAGCUAGUUGGUGAGGUAACGGCUCACCAAGGCGACGAUCAGUAGCUGGUCUGAGAGGAUGAUCAGCCACACUGGGACUGAGACACGGCCCAGACUCCUACGGGAGGCAGCAGUGGGGAAUAUUGGACAAUGGGCGCAAGCCUGAUCCAGCCAUGCCGCGUGAGUGAUGAAGGCCUUAGGGUUGUAAAGCUCUUUUAUCCGGGACGAUAAUGACGGUACUGGAGGAAUAAGCCCCGGCUAACUUCGUG